rnacentral:lncRNA from 1 species
CACAGCUCAGUCACCCGCUGGUCCCACAGGAAGCCCUGGCCAGAUAGCAUGAGCUUUGUGCAAGCCUCUGCGCCUGCCCGUAGCGGGCCAGAACCUGCACAGGGACCACUCAGUUAUUUCCCCUUCCCUUUCCCCGCCAGGUAGACCCUGUAGGACUGAGAGCUGGGGGAAGGCACUGUGAAUAUCUCUGUUAGCUUCUGCUCUUUUUGGAGGUUUUUGCAGAUGCAUCGAGUAGAGCCCAGAGCAAAUUCCUUCCUCCACCCUUGGGAGAAAGGAUCUUUUCUUUAUGUUUCUAAACAUCUGACUAAGGGGGCCUGAACCCAAUUCUGGAAAAAAAUGUCUCCUUCCCAAGCCUAGUGACCUUCCGAAGAAGCAGGUUGGGGCUUUGGUGUGGAGCAGAUAGUCUUCUUCCCCAAGGUGGCAGCCAAGGAGAGUCGGCACUAGCACAUGUUUUCCAGGAUGUGCUGGUGUGCCCUAGGGAAAGCGAAGGAGGGAAAUGUGUUGGGAAAUGAGCACAGAAAAUAGCUCUUGCUCAGUCCUGAUUUUUUUGUCCUUCAUUUAUCCCAAUUUUUGCUCUUUGAGAAAGGCUGAGGUGACAGUUUGGCUUUGAAAAGUGUCCUGGGGUCCUUUACGCUGACUGGGUGCAGCAGGAGGUAGAGGUAAGGUAUCAUGUGCGUGAGAUGGUGCCAUCCAAAACGAUAGCUUGUUGGAAAUGCCGUGACGAAUCCCUGUUUUUGCAAACAGACCUCUGAGAGCAGCUUAUCUCUCCCCCUCUGCCGUUGACCCUAUCUAGAAGAGUUCCUUCUGCUUCCUCAGAAAUGACGUUCUCCUCUUAACUCCUGCCCUCCCCCGGCUGCUCUAUCUCCUCUUCCACUCCCAAACUGCUGGCCUUGCAGCAGACAACUGCUUGGAUAUUUGCAGAGCUUUUCUGGCCUCUCCCUACACCGUGCCGUCCCCAGAGUCCCAGCUACCCUGUGUGGCCUGAAGUGACCAGGGCUGAGUGUGUAAGACCAACCUGCCCUUCUGCAGAGUCACAGCCACAAGGAUUUCAUGUCACUUGUACACCAAUAUUGCGCCUGUUCC